rnacentral:rRNA from 1 species
AUUGAACGCUGGCGGCGUGCUUAACACAUGCAAGUCGAGCGAGCGGCGGACGGGUGAGUAAUGUAUGGGAAACUGCCCGAUGGAGGGGGAUAAAUACUGGAAACGGUAGCUAAUACCGCAUACCAUCAGAUGGGCCCAGAUGGGAUGGGCUAGUAGGUGGGGUAACGGCUCACCUUGGCGCCGAUCCCUAGCUGGUCUGAGAGGAUGACCAGCAAGACUGGAGCUGAGACACGGUCCAGACUCCUACGGGAGGCGGCAGUGGGGAAUAUUGCACAAGGGGCGCAAGCCUGAUGCAGCCAUGCCGCGUGUGUGAAGAAGGCCUUCGGGUUGUAAAGCACUUUCAGCGGGGAGGCGUUACCCGCAGAAGAAGCACCGGCUAACUCCGUGCCAGCAGCCGCGGUAAUUC